rnacentral:rRNA from 1 species
UACGUAGGGUGCAAGCGUUAAUCGGAAUUACUGGGCGUAAAGCGUGCGCAGGCGGUGAUGUAAGACAGAUGUGAAAGCCCCGGGCUCAACCUGGGAAUGGCAAUGGAUACUGGACAGCUAGAGUGCGGUAGAGGGUAGUGGAAUUCCCGGUGUAGCAGUGAAAUGCGUAGAGAUCGGGAGGAACACCAGUGGCGAAGGCGGCUACCUGGACCAGCACUGACACUGAAGCACGAAAGCGUGGGGAGCAAACAGG